UACGUAGGGGGGCAAGCGUUGUCCGGAUUUACUGGGCAUAAAGAGCGUGUAGGCGGCCACGCAGGUCCGUUGUGAAAACUGGAGGCUCAACCUUCAGACGUCGACGGAAACCGUGUGGCUAGAGUCCGGAAGAGGAGAGUGGAAUUCCUGGUGUAGCGGUGAAAUGCGCAGAUAUCAGGAAGAACACCAAUGGCGAAGGCAGCUCUCUGGGACGGUACUGACGCUGAGACGCGAAAGCGUGGGGAGCGAACAGG
rnacentral:rRNA from 1 species